AUACGGAGGGUGCAAGCGUUAUCCGGAAUCAUUGGGUUUAAAGGGUCCGCAGGCGGACUGAUAAGUCAGUGGUGAAAUCCCGUAGCUUAACUACGGAACUGCCAUUGAAACUGUCAGUCUUGAAUUCGGUCGAAGUGGGCGGAAUGUGUCAUGUAGCGGUGAAAUGCAUAGAUAUGACACAGAACACCGAUAGCGAAGGCAGCUCACUAGGCCUGAAUUGACGCUCAGGGACGAAAGCGUGGGGAGCGAACAGGAUUAGAAACCCUAGUAGUCC
rnacentral:rRNA from 1 species